AACGAAUGGGUUGUCACUGAGAAAUUAGGAGAUGCUCUUGAGACUAAGUUACUUCCGCAAAUAAGAAAACCUCGCAAUGGGGUUCUCGACAGGAUAAACUCAAAGGAGAUGAUGGUGGGGAUAUACAUUUUGUGCUGUGCCUCCUAUAACCUUGUCUUUGGGAAGACAUUGUUAUAUAUCUAUCUUUACAUGCAGGCUCUUGCAUUUAUUAUUUCUGGAUUUGGCUUUGUAGGAACUAAUUAAAUCUCUUAUUUAGAUAUUUUGAUUUUUUAAGAAUAUGUAAUUAGUAUUAAAAUCUUCUAUGUUCUUUUUCAAAGUCAGGACGAUAGGUUAGGAUUCGUUAUAGAAUUAUCCAUUUAUCAAAGAAGAAAAUAAUGAGUCUGUGUUUUCAUGUUUAGUAGAUCAACUACUAUCUUGAUUUUUUGUACAAUGCAAUGUUAGUCCCUAGGUUUAUAUAGUGUGCGUAAGAUUAUGUACAGUUUAAUUUGUUUAUCGUAAUGAACUUUAGAUUUAUCACU